rnacentral:lncRNA from 1 species
UAUAGAUGACGAUAAAAAAAAGAAAUUGGAAAACAUAAAUAAUCGGAAACUUUGAUAAAUAAAGUUUCUAUAUUUCAGUUAUAGUUUCCUAUUAUUUAUGGUUACCAUAACAGCCGGCUGCUUCUUUUUUUUUUUUUAACUCUUAUUAGUAACAUUCUAUUAGAAAAGACAGAGCUAUAACUCAAAAAACAGAGUUUCAUGAAGCAAAAACAGAGCAAAACAGAGAACCAGC